AUACUUACCUGGCAGGGGAGAUACCAUGAUCACGAAGGUGGUUCUCCCAGGGCGAGGCUCAGCCAUUGCACUCCGGCUGUGCUGACCCCUGCGAUUUCCCCAAAUGCGGGAAACUCGACUGCAUAAUUUCUGGUAGUGGGGGACUGCGUUCGCGCUUUCCCCUG
rnacentral:snRNA from 1 species